rnacentral:rRNA from 1 species
AUCCUGCCAUUAACAUAUGCUUGUUAUAAAAAUUAACCCUUGCAUGUCUAAUUAUAAAAUUAUUCUAUACUUGAAACUGCAAACGGCUCAUUAAAUCAUUUAUAUUUUAUUUGAUGUUACCUUACUACAUGGAUACCUGUGGUAAUUCUCGAGCUAAUACAUGCGUAAAGGCCCAACUCGGGAGGGGAGGGUUGUAUUUAUUAAAUAAAAAACCAAUACCCACCAAUGCGGUUUUGUGGUGAUUCAUAAUAACUGUGCAAAUCGCAUGGCGCAAGCCGGCAAUAGUUCAUUCAAAUUUCUGCCCUAUCACCUUUCGACGGUAGUGUAUUGAACUACCGUGGCAUUAACGUUUUACGGAAAAUUAGGGUUCGAUUCCGGAGAGGGAGCCUAGAAAACCGCCUACCACAUCCAAGGAAGGCACCAGGCGCGCAAAUU